rnacentral:rRNA from 1 species
CCUACGGGAGGCAGCAGUAGGGAAUAUUGGGCAAUGGACGGAAGUCUGACCCAGCCAUGCCGCGUGCAGGAGGAAGGCCCUCUGGGUUGUAAACUGCUUUUGUACGGGAAGAACAGCUUUGACGCGAUUAGAGUAUGACGGUACCGUAAGAAUAAGGAUCGGCUAACUACGUGCCAGCAGCCGCGGUAAUACGUAGGAUCCGAGCGUUGUCCGGAUUUAUUGGGUUUAAAGGGUGCGUAGGCGGUUUUAUAAGUCAGUGGUGAAAGUUGGCCGCUCAACGGUCAAACUGCCAUAGAUACUGUAGAACUUGAGUUAAGUUGAGGUGGGCGGAAUGUGUCAUGUAGCGGUGAAAUGCAUAGAGAUGACACAGAACACCGAUUGCGUAGGCAGCUCACUAAGCUUAUACUGACGCUGAGGCACGAAAGUGUGGGGAUCAAACAGGAUUAGAUACCCUGGUAGUCCACACUGUAAACGUUGAUAACUUGCUGUUGGCGAUACACAGUCAGUGGCUAAGGGAAACCGAUAAGUUAUCCACCUGGGGAGUACGUCCGCAAGGAUGAAACUCAAAUGAAUUGACGG